rnacentral:rRNA from 1 species
GACGAACGCUGGCGGCGUGCCUAAUACAUGCAAGUCGAACGCUUCUUUUCCCACCGGAGCUUGCUCCACCGGGAAAAGAGGAGUGGCGAACGGGUGAGUAACACGUGGGUAACCUGCCCAUCAGAAGGGGAUAACACUUGGAAACAGGUGCUAAUACCGUAUAACAAUCGAAACCGCAUGGUUUCGUUUUGAAAGGCGCUUUACGGUGCCGCUGAUGGAUGGACCCGCGGUGCAUUAGCUAGUUGGUGAGGUAACGGCUCACCAAGGCCACGAUGCAUAGCCGACCUGAGAGGGUGAUCGGCCACAUUGGGACUGAGACACGGCCCAAACUCCUACGGGAGGCAGCAGUAGGGAAUCUUCGGCAAUGGACGAAAGUCUGACCGAGCAACGCCGCGUGAGUGAAGAAGGUUUUCGGAUCGUAAAACUCUGUUGUUAGAGAAGAACAAGGGUGAGAGUAACUGUUCACCCCUUGACGGUAUCUAACCAGAAAGCCACGGCUAACUACGUGCCAGCAGCCGCGGUAAUACGUAGGUGGCAAGCGUUGUCCGGAUUUAUUGGGCGUAAAGCGAGCGCAGGCGGUUUCUUAAGUCUGAUGUGAAAGCCCCCGGCUCAACCGGGGAGGGUCAUUGGAAACUGGGAGACUUGAGUGCAGAAGAGGAGAGUGGAAUUCCAUGUGUAGCGGUGAAAUGCGUAGAUAUAUGGAGGAACACCAGUGGCGAAGGCGGCUCUCUGGUCUGUAACUGACGCUGAGGCUCGAAAGCGUGGGGAGCAAACAGGAUUAGAUACCCUGGUAGUCCACGCCGUAAACGAUGAGUGCUAAGUGUUGGAGGGUUUCCGCCCUUCAGUGCUGCAGCUAACGCAUUAAGCACUCCGCCUGGGGAGUACGACCGCAAGGUUGAAACUCAAAGGAAUUGACGGGGGCCCGCACAAGCGGUGGAGCAUGUGGUUUAAUUCGAAGCAACGCGAAGAACCUUACCAGGUCUUGACAUCCUUUGACCACUCUAGAGAUAGAGCUUCCCCUUCGGGGGCAAAGUGACAGGUGGUGCAUGGUUGUCGUCAGCUCGUGUCGUGAGAUGUUGGGUUAAGUCCCGCAACGAGCGCAACCCUUAUUGUUAGUUGCCAUCAUUUAGUUGGGCACUCUAGCAAGACUGCCGGUGACAAACCGGAGGAAGGUGGGGAUGACGUCAAAUCAUCAUGCCCCUUAUGACCUGGGCUACACACGUGCUACAAUGGGAAGUACAACGAGUCGCGAAGUCGCGAGGCUAAGCUAAUCUCUUAAAGCUUCUCUCAGUUCGGAUUGUAGGCUGCAACUCGCCUACAUGAAGCCGGAAUCGCUAGUAAUCGCGGAUCAGCACGCCGCGGUGAAUACGUUCCCGGGCCUUGUACACACCGCCCGUCACACCACGAGAGUUUGUAACACCCGAAGUCGGUGAGGUAACCUUUUUGGAGCCAGCCGCCUAAGGUGGGAUAGAUGAUUGGGGGUGA